rnacentral:rRNA from 1 species
CUACGGGACGCAGCAGUGGGGAAUAUUGCGCAAUGGGCGAAAGCCUGACGCAGCCAUGCCGCGUGUGUGAAGAAGGCCUUCGGGUUGUAAAGCACUUUCAAUUGGGAGGAAAGGUUCACGAUUAAUACUCGUGAGCUGUGACGUUACCUUUAAAAGAAGCACCGGCUAACUCCGUGCCAGCAGCCGCGGUAAUACGGAGGGUGCAAGCGUUAAUCGGAAUUACUGGGCGUAAAGCGCGCGUAGGUGGCUCUUUAAGUCGGAUGUGAAAGCCCCGGGCUUAACCUGGGAACUGCAUCCGAUACUGGAAAGCUAGAGUGCGGGAGAGGGAGGUAGAAUUCCACGUGUAGCGGUGAAAUGCGUAGAUAUGUGGAGGAAUACCAGUGGCGAAGGCGGCCUCCUGGCUCGACACUGACACUGAGGUGCGAAAGCGUGGGUAGCAAACAGGAUUAGAUACCCGGGUAGUC